rnacentral:tRNA from 1 species
ACCUGGGUGGCUCAGUCAGUUGAGCGUCUGACUUCGGCUCAGGUCAGUCAUGAUCUCAUGGUUCAUGGGUUCGCACCCAUGUCAGGCU